GACGUAGGGCGCGAGCGUUGUCCGGAUUUAUUGGGCGUAAAGAGCUCGUAGGCGGCCGGUUGCGUCUGCUGUGAAAUCCCGGGGCUUAACCCCGGGCGUGCAGUGGAUACGGGCCGGCUGGAGGCAGGCAGGGGAGAAUGGAAUUCCCGGUGUAGCGGUGAAAUGCGCAGAUAUCGGGAGGAACACCGGUGGCGAAGGCGGUUCUCUGGGCCUGUACUGACGCUGAGGAGCGAAAGCGUGGGGAGCGAACAGG
rnacentral:rRNA from 1 species